AUGGGUUUACACACAGCUCCCAACUCAUUUCAGUUGUUAAUGGACAAGAUUUUACGAGGUUUGACAUUUAAAUCUUGCUUAUGUUAUCUAGACGACGUUCUCAUUUGCUCCGAAACUUUCGAACAACAUAUGUCUGAUCUUCAAGAAGUUUUUGAUCGUUUCCGUAAUGCAGGGCUUAAACUUAAUCCACAGAAAUGUACUUUUGCAAAUUCGUCAGCAAUAUUUUUAGGACACCAUAUUUCAAAAGAAGGCAUCCGACCACCUCCCGACCGUGUCAGGGCUUUGAAUGAAUUUCCUCCUCCACAGAAUGUUAAACAGCUACGUCGUGCGUUAGGUAUGUUUAAUUGGUUUCGGAAAUUUAUUCCAAACUACAGCUCAGCGGCCGAACCGCUUACUCGAUUAUUAAAGAAAUCUGCUAAAUUUGUGUGGUCACAGGAACAGGAAACAUCAUUUACAAGAAUCAAACAUUUAUUGCUAACAUCCGCAGUUUUGGCAUUUCCUAGAUUUGAUUUACAAUUUUUCCUAGCAGUAGAUAGUUCAGCGACAGGUAUAGGCUACAUGCUUUAUCAAAAACACCCAAGUGAUACAGGUGAACAAAUCCGAGUGGUACGGUUUGGGUCUAAAUCAUUGAACUCAUGGCAGAAAUCAUACGGACCAACCAAAUUGGAAUUACUAGGAGUUGUUACAAGUAUAGUUGACUGUGCUAGUUAUUUACGCGGAGACAGAUUCACCGUAGAAUGUGACCAUCAGGCGUUGCGAUCGUUAUUUCAAAAUCAGUUUAAAGGAGCCAUUUACGACCGAUGGUUAGCUGUGUUACAACAAUUUAAUUUUGAUAUCAAAUACAAGCCUGCCGCCGAUAUGCAAGUUCCCGAUGCACUUUCAAGAGUCGAAAAUGCGCCACUACUGGACGUUAAUGCGGAAGAAUCACUUAAUGAAAAUGACCCCCAUUUUCCGUAUGAAGUCGAAGAAGUUGGAAAAAUUUCAUUUGUUAAUUUUGCAAAACUCAGUACUGACGAAAUCGAAACGGGUUAUACAGCAGAUACCGAGGAGGAGUCGAGUAAAUUGACAUUCAAACAAGAAAGUAUUGAUGGACAUUCGUCUUUACCGUGCAAUUCAGUGACUUUAGCCGAUAGUGGGAUUACUUCGAAUUACCCUGAUGAUAACCGAACUACUAAUGAAAACGAUUCACUUUUUAUCGAUAGUCACUCAUGUGACGUAGAUAGUUCCGAAAACAAUUCUUUUUUACAGAGGCACCCGACGGAUUUAUUCGAUGUAUGUGGAAAUGAAUGCGUUUCUGACUGUGCUUGUGACACUUUGUUUGUAAAUAAAUAUGAAAAUGAGACUGAUAACUUACGCAUUGAUGAUUUAACUCCUAUUUUACAACGGCAUCCUAUUGAUUUUAUUGAUUCUUGUGGACCUGAAUGUGAUCAAACUGGUGAUAGUUUAUAUUUACAUGUACAUAACUCUGGAUUUGGUACUGAAUUCACAACAGUACAGGAUAUAAAAUUUGUUGGCACAGCUGAUAAGACACGUGAUCAGCCAACUGAUUUUAACAGAGAAAAUAUUAAACAUUUACAAAGACUAGACGAAACAUUACUUCCAGUUAUUCUUUACUUAGAAAAUGGAACAUUACCGAAACUUCAGAAGGAAGCUCGUCGUUUGUUAUUAAAAGCACCUGAUUACAGCAUGAUCGAUGACUUAUUAUUUCACUCGCGGGUUGCAAAGUCGAAACGCACCCAAAGAAUGGGAGAAUUUCAGUUAGUUAUUCCUAAACAAUUGAUACCUAAAGUUUUAGAAACUUACCACCAAACACCUUUAGCAGGCCAUAUGGGUAUACAACAAACAGUGGACAAUAUUUCAGAACAAUUUUAUUUUCAAAACUUGCCAUCAACAGUGUCAAGUUAUGUUCGUUCUUGUCACGACUGUCAGGAACGAAAGAUGACAAAAGCUCAUACGAAGUCCGAAAUAAUUUCUUUUCGAACGCCUACAGAACCUUUUCAAACUUGGCAGGUAGACUUGUUUGGACCAUUGCCAAUAACACAAAAAGGGAACGCAUAUGUUUUCACAGCAGUUGAUAUGUUUUCCAAACUAUUAUUUUGUGUUCCGUUACUCAGUUCAGACUCAGUUACAGUGUCACAUGCACUUUUUCAAUUAGUAUGUACUUUUGGCGUGUGUGAUUGCGUUAUAAGUGACAAAGGUAGUGAAUUUAUUUCACAAUGCACUGAUCAGCUUUGCAAAAUUUUAGAAGUAAAUCAAAACUUUACCCCAAGUUUUAUACACCAUUGCUUGGGAUUGUGCGAACGUACACAUAGGACUGUUGCAGAACGUUUAACACCUUAUACUAAAAAGGGAAUACAGUGGGACAAUAUGUUACCUGCGAUAACAUUUUCUUUUAAUAUCUCGCCAAGUGACUCAACUAAAUAUUCGCCGUACGAAGUGGUUUACGGAUUUCGUCCGAAAUUUCCUCUUUCCGUUUCGAAACUUGGAAUAGACCUUAAUUCGCUUCAUAGUGAUUAUCAUAGUUAUAUGAACCAACAAAUAGACAAACUGAAACUAAUCCGAGAAGAAGCAGUUGUUAAUGCACAAAAAGCAAGUGAAAUUAUGAAGGAACGCGAAAAUAAAAAGACAAAUCCGCUUAAACUUAACAUUGGUGAUUUUGUAUAUAUGUUGAAAGAAGUAGUUGGACCAGGAAAAAAGCUUCAACCAAAAUACGCGGGACCAUAUGUUGUUCAUGAAAUUUUAUCGCCACAUUUAGUUAAACUCCGAGAAAAGGACAGUGGUAAAUUGUUUAAGAAUCCAGUGCAUUUGGACCGUCUUAAAAUAGCGUUUGUUCGCGCUCCGAAUCCGACCAAUUAUUUUAUUCCAAUAUCAGUGAAAAAUGAGCAAACUUUGAAUGAAAUAGAAAAAGGAGCUAUCACUAAUUCCGAAUAA
rnacentral:sRNA from 1 species